rnacentral:rRNA from 1 species
GACGAACGCUGGCGGCGUGCUUAACACAUGCCAGUCGAACGGAAAGGCCCUGCUUUUGUGGGGUGCACGAGUGGCGAACGGGUGAGUAACACGUGAGUAACCUGCCCUUGACUUUGGGAUAACUUCAGGAAACUGGGGCUAAUACCGGAUAGGAGCUCCUGCUGCAUGGUGGGGGUUGGAAAGUUUCGGCGGUUGGGGAUGGACUCGCGGCUUAUCAGCUUGUUGGUGGGGUAGUGGCUUACCAAGGCUUUGACGGGUAGCCGGCCUGAGAGGGUGACCGGCCACAUUGGGACUGAGAUACGGCCCAGACUCCUACGGGAGGCAGCAGUGGGGAAUAUUGCACAAUGGGCGGAAGCCUGAUGCAGCAACGCCGCGUGCGGGAUGACGGCCUUCGGGUUGUAAACCGCUUUCGCCUGUGACGAAGCGUGAGUGACGGUAAUGGGUAAAGAAGCACCGGCUAACUACGUG